rnacentral:rRNA from 1 species
UGAGGAAUAUUGGUCAAUGGGCGCGAGCCUGAACCAGCCAAGUAGCGUGAAGGAUGAAGGUCCUACAGAUUGUAAACUUCUUUUAUAAGGGAAUAAAGUCACCCACGUGUGGGUGUUUGUAUGUACCUUAUGAAUAAGCAUCGGCUAACUCCGUGCCAGCAGCCGCGGUAAUACGGAGGAUGCGAGCGUUAUCCGGAUUUAUUGGGUUUAAAGGGAGCGUAGACGGGCCGUUAAGUCAGCUGUGAAAGUUUGAGGCUCAACCUUAAAAUUGCAGUUGAUACUGGCGUCCUUGAGUACGGUUGAGGCAGGCGGAAUUCGUGGUGUAGCGGUGAAAUGCUUAGAUAUCACGAAGAACCCCGAUUGCGAAGGCAGCCUGCUAAACCGCCACUGACGUUGAGGCUCGAAAGUGUGGGUAUCAAACAGGAUUAGAUACCCUGGUAGUCCACACGGUAAACGAUGGAUACUCGCUGUUGGCGAUAGACUGUCAGCGGCUUAGCGAAAGCGUUAAGUAUCCCACCUGGGGAGUACGCCGGCAACGGUGAAACUCAAAGGAAUUGACGGGGGCCCGCACAAGCGGAGGAACAUGUGGUUUAAUUCGAUGAUACGCGAGGAACCUUACCCGGGCUUGAAUUGCAGACGAAUUGCUUGGAAACAGGCAAGCCGCAAGGCGUCUGUGAAGGUGCUGCAUGGUUGUCGUCAGCUCGUGCCGUGAGGUGUCGGCUUAAGUGCCAUAACGAGCGCAACCCUCGUGUCCAGUUACUAGCAGGUUAUGCUGAGGACUCUGGACAGACUGCCAUCGUAAGAUGUGAGGAAGGUGGGGAUGACGUCAAAUCAGCACGGCCCUUACGUCCGGGGCUACACACGUGUUACAAUGGGGGGUACAGCAGGCAGCUACCGGGCGACCGGAUGCCAAUCCCGAAAGCCUCUCUCAGUUCGGACUGGAGUCUGCAACCCGACUCCACGAAGCUGGAUUCGCUAGUAAUCGCGCAUCAGCCACGGCGCGGUGAAUACGUUCCC